GACGAACGCUGGCGGCGUGCCUAAUACAUGCAAGUAGAACGCAGUUGCGAACGGGUGAGUAACGCGUAGGUAACUGCCUGGUAGCGGGGGAUAACUAUUGGAAACGAUAGCUAAUACCGCAUACUACAAGAUGGACCUGCGUUGUAUUAGCUAGUUGGUGGGGUAACGGCUCACCAAGGCAACGAUACAUACCCGGGCUGAGAGGGUGAUCGGCCAAACUGGGAACGAGAAACGGCCCAGAAGCCUACGGGAGGCAGCAGUAGGGAAUCUUCGGCAAUGGACGGAAGUCUGACCGAGCAACGCCGCGUGAGUGAAGAAGGUUUUCGGAUCGGAAAGCUAUGUUGUAAGAGAAGCGGUAUCUAAAGAGAAAGGGACGGCUAACUACGUGCCAGCAGCCGCGGUAAUAC
rnacentral:rRNA from 1 species